GCAGGUCUGUGUGCACAGUGUCAGUCUGUGUCAUGUAAAGCAGUUGCUGGUGUCCUGCCUGCUGACUGCUUUACUACCUAAUCCUGCGGCCCAAGAUUAUCCUGAGAUCAUAGUACUGGUCUAGUGAUGUCUCUGGACACUCAACCACUGGCCAGCCUCCAAACUCUCAAACAUAC